GUGGGGAAUUUUGGACAAUGGGGGCAACCCUGAUCCAGCCAUGCCGCGUGCGGGAAGAAGGCCUUCGGGUUGUAAACCGCUUUUGGUCGGGAAGAAAAGGCGCCACCUAAUACGGGGCGUUCUUGACGGUACCGGCAGAAUAAGCACCGGCUAACUACGUGCCAGCAGCCGCGGUAAUACGUAGGGUGCGAGCGUUAAUCGGAAUUACUGGGCGUAAAGCGUGCGCAGGCGGUUUGUUAAGUCUGAUGUGAAAGCCCCGGGCUCAACCUGGGAAUGGCAUUGGAAACUGGCAAGCUCGAGUUUGGCAGAGGGGGGUGGAAUUCCGCGUGUAGCAGUGAAAUGCGUAGAGAUGCGGAGGAACACCGAUGGCGAAGGCAGCCCCCUGGGCUAAGACUGACGCUCAGGCACGAAAGCGUGGGGAGCAAACAGGAUUAGAUACCCGGGUAGUCC
rnacentral:rRNA from 1 species